CAAGAGGAGAGGGCUGUGGUGUCUUCACUCCUCGUUCCAGCACUCAUCUACCUGGAUGUUCAUGAUGUCAUCCUCCCGAGAGGCUUGCCGUGCCAAGCCUUGUUUUUUUUUUUUUUUGCAGGCGACAAAAAAAAUGAAGACAGAAAAGAAAGCAGAACUAAAGCGCGUUUGCACUUUUUUCCUAUGACCAUUCCUGUACUCAGAUGCUGGGUUACAUCACACAGAAAUGACGAUUCCUUUUUUUUUCGGCUCACCUCUGGCCCGUGGGGUUGUAGAUCUCGUUGCUCUGGCAACCGCUUAUCGUGAUGGGGUCGAACGACUGGAAGGAGCGCAGUCCUACCCCGGAGAUGGCCACCAGGCGAGAGGCAAAC